rnacentral:rRNA from 1 species
AGAGUUUGAUCCUGGCUCAGGAUGAACGCUGGCGGCGUGCUUAACACAUGCAAGUCGAACGAUUAAAGCCCCUUCGGGGGUGUAUAGAGUGGCGAACGGGUGAGUAACACGUGGGCAAUCUGCCCCUCACUUCGGGAUAACUCAAGGAAACUUGAGCUAAUACCGGAUACUCCGGACUGAUCGCAUGGUCGGUCCGGGAAAGCUCCGACGGUGAGGGAUGAGCCCGCGGCCCAUUAGCUUGUUGGUGGGGUAAUGGCCCACCAAGGCGACGAUGGGUAGCCGAGCUGAGAGGCUGAUCCGCCACACUGGAACUGGAACACGGACCAGACUCCUACGGGAGGCAGCAGUGAGGAAUAUUGCGCAAUGGGGGCAACCCUGACGCAGCGACGCCGCGUGGAUGAUGAAGGCCUUCGGGUCGUAAAAUCCUGUCAGAUGGAAAGAAGUGUUAUGUGGUUAAUACCCAUGUAGCUUGACGGUACCAUCGAAGGAAGCACCGGCUAACUCCGUGCCAGCAGCCGCGGUAAUACGGAGGGUGCAAGCGUUGUUCGGAAUUACUGGGCGUAAAGCGCGCGUAGGCGGUUUUAUAAGUCAGAUGUGAAAGCCCAUGGCUUAACCAUGGACGUGCAUUUGAAACUGUGAGACUUGAGUAUUGGAGGGGGUGGUGGAAUUCCCGGUGUAGAGGUGAAAUUCGUAGAUAUCGGGAGGAAUACCAGUGGCGAAGGCGACCACCUGGCCAAAUACUGACGCUCAUGUGCGAAAGCGUGGGGAGCAAACAGGAUUAGAUACCCUGGUAGUCC